rnacentral:rRNA from 1 species
CCUACGGGUGGCAGCAGUGGGGGAUAUUGCACAAUGGGGGAAACCCUGAUGCAGCGACGCCGCGUGGGUGAAGAAGCGCCUCUGCGCGUAAAGCCCUGUCAGCAGGGAAGAAAAUGACGGUACCUGAAGAAUACUCCCCGGCUAACUACGUGCCAGCCGCCGCGGUAAUACGUAGGGGGCAAGCGUUAUCCGGAUUUACUGGGUGUAAAGGGUGCGUAGGCGGUUUUUUAAGUUAGUGGUUAAACGUCGGGGCGUAACCUUGAUUUGCCAUUAAUACUGUAAGACUCGAGUGCAGACGAGGUAGGCGGAAUAAGUUAAGUAGCGGUGAAAUGCUUAGAUAUAACUUAGAACUCCGAUAGCGAAGGCAGCUUACCAGACUGCGACUGACGCUGAAGCACGAGAGCGUGGGUAGCGAACAGGAUUAGAUACCCUAGUAGUC